GUCGAACGGAGAUUAUACGCAGAGGCGAUUUCGGUCAAAUCAUGUAAAAUCUUAGUGGCGGACGGGUGAGUAACGCGUGGGUAACCUGCCUUACACUGGGGGAUAACACUUAGAAAUAGGUGCUAAUACCGCAUAAGCGCACGAAGCCGCAUGGAUUUGUGUGAAAAACUCCGGUGGUGUAAGAUGGACCCGCGUCUGAUUAGCUUGUUGGCGGGGUAACGGCCCACCAAGGCGACGAUCAGUAGCCGGCCUGAGAGGGUGGACGGCCACAUUGGGACUGAGACACGGCCCAAACUCCUACGGGAGGCAGCAGUGGGGGAUAUUGGACAAUGGGGGGAACCCUGAUCCAGCGACGCCGCGUGAGUGAAGAAGUAUUUCGGUAUGUAAAGCUCUGUCAGCAGGGAAGAAAGAAAUGACGGUACCUGACCAAGAAGCCCCGGCUAACUACGUGCCAGCAGCCGCGGUAAUACGUAGGGGGCAAGCGUUAUCCGGAAUUACUGGGUGUAAAGGGAGCGUAGACGGUUAAGUAAGUCUGGAGUGAAAGGCCGGGGCCCAACCCCGGGACUGCUCUGGAAACUAUUGAACUUGAGUGCAGGAGAGGUAAGCGGAAUUCCUAGUGUAGCGGUGAAAUGCGUAGAUAUUAGGAGGAACACCAGUGGCGAAGGCGGCUUACUGGACUGUAACUGA
rnacentral:rRNA from 1 species